rnacentral:miRNA from 1 species
AUUGGCUCCGGAUUGUGGGUUC